rfam:Glycine max cultivar Williams 82 chromosome 14, whole genome shotgun sequence.
UUUUAAUUGGAUGUUUACCGUCACGUGUCGUAAUUUUAUUGGAGGUUGACAUUAAUUAGGUAUACAAAAUUAAUGUCCAAUAAAAAUGCGACAUAUGACGGUCAACGUUA